AGGGAAUGGUUUCUCUCUCUUCCGCUGGACUUUAACAAGCAAGCACAUGACGGGCUUCAUCAGUCCUGGACGAGAAAGCUGAGAUGAAAAUAACUUGAGUCUUGGAUGAAAUCAGUGACCCUAUGAUAUCAUCACAUCUAGAGCUGACUCUAACUGGACUUCCAGCUAUUUCCAGGACAUAUUCAAGCAGAGUUUGGAUAACCACCUGCCAAAGAUCUGUAUUGGGUGGGAAGUUGGUUCAUACCUGUCUUAAUUGUCCAAGAUUCUAUUCUUCACCUAGAUUAUCUCUGUAAAUCAUGAAGUGCUUACUAAAAGUAUUAUAUCCAAAUGAAUAUUCAAGUAAAAAUAUAAACAAUAAAAUAAUAGAGAAUGCUAAUAACAGUGCUAAAUACUGUGUAUACAUCAUUUUUAAUUAGUACUGACAAUCUCGUAAGUUAGGUAUUACUUCUAUACCUUUUUUUUUUUUUCAGCUGAGAAAAACAGACCCAAAGAAGCUAUGCCUUGCUUGAGGUCACAUAGCCAGCUAUUGAACCUAAGUCUGUCAUACAUCAAAGCCAUGCUCUUAAUGAAUUAGGAAAGAAUCUUAAGGAAUCAUCUGAUUCAGCUCCUUAUUUUAUAAAGGAGGGACUUUUCCCAUCACACAAUGAUACAUGAACAUUAUACAUCCUCUUAAUUAUGUUCUCAGUAUCUUUUGUUCUUGAGAUUUUAGACUCAAUGUACUUACAAGCAGAAUAUGAUCAUACUUCAUUAGCCCAUCAGCAGCUACGAGGAUGACAAGGUUGCUAUACUAAGGAAAUCACACUCUGUUCAACUCCAGGCAUCACCAUGGCAUAGCACUGAGCUGUUUGAUUAGUGACAUUUAAUACCAAUUCAGUCUCUAGCCUAAUUAAUUUCUAAUUAAUUCUAAUUUCUAAUUAGUUUCUAAUUAAUAAGAGACAACUGUCUACCCUGUAGGCACGAAACUUAAGAUCCUAGUCUAUUUUAAAAUGUAACUACCCAUGUACAGAUUCAUAAUGCCAAACAGUUGAGAUCUUCUAAGCCAAAUUACCCUAAUCUGGUCCAAAAUCUAAACUAACUUUUCCAAAAGACAGCUAGUAAAGAAUAACAAUAAUGGUUUAAAUAAUAAGACUAAAGGCUUGUUCUUACCUUUAAGAAAGUUAAAAAAAAAAAAAAAAAGAGUGUUGAAUGAGAUGAUAUGGCUACCACACUGAUUCUGAAUUGGUAAAGGGUUAUUUUACUUCUAUGCACCUAAUUCUGGAGAUUUCAUUGGUUGAGGUCAGUAUCUGCUUUCUCCUGACAACAGAUAUCCAGAGUUCCCAGAAUGACAUAGUAAUAAGAACAUAAGAACCUUAUGUUACAAGAUUUGUUGGUAUAUAUCCUUUGGGGGAAAAAGCCACGUGAGCAAAUGAGGAACACAAAAAAGAAACACAACUGAAGAUCUUCCACUAGUAAUAUUUUACUUUCUUCUUACAAUAAAUUAUAAAUACUUUUUCCACAUAUCAAAGUUCGUCAAAGAACUCCCAAAA